rnacentral:rRNA from 1 species
AACGAACGCUGGCGGCAUGCCUAACACAUGCAAGUCGAACGAGACCUUCGGGUCUAGUGGCGCACGGGUGCGUAACGCGUGGGAACCUGCCCUUAGGUUCGGAAUAACUCCCCGAAAGGGGUGCUAAUACCGGAUAAUAUCUUCGGACCAAAGAUUUAUCGCCUUUGGAUGGGCCCGCGUUGGAUUAGCUAGUUGGUAGGGUAAAAGCCUACCAAGGCGACGAUCCAUAGCUGGUCUGAGAGGAUGAUCAGCCACACUGGGACUGAGACACGGCCCAGACUCCUACGGGAGGCAGCAGUGGGGAAUAUUGGACAAUGGGCGAAAGCCUGAUCCAGCAAUGCCGCGUGAGUGAUGAAGGCCUUAGGGUUGUAAAGCUCUUUUACCCGGGAUGAUAAUGACAGUACCGGGAGAAUAAGCUCCGACUAACUCCGUG